AUCAAGCAACUGCAUGUCUGGUUGGAUGACCAGCGAGCGAAGCCAAAUACACAUUUCAGCUGAAUUUAUCGUGUGUACGCUUUACUACUAAGACUGCAGCUGAUAGCCAAAUCCUUAUUGGUCAGGAUGCAGUAACUGAUCCGCGGAAUGCUCAUUAUCGACCCGCCCAGUUAUCAAAUAUUAUGGUUUUCCCCAUGUUCCUGACGCAGCCACGAGCAUGUGGGGCAAAGCCAGAUUGCAAUUUCAGGAACCAAGUGAAUGUUUUACAUAGUUGAUUGCAGCCAUUAAGGGACAUACAAAUAUUGAAUCAAAUUGUAUGAGACACCACCCAAAUUUCUUAAUUAUUUAGAAUAUAAUUAAGACCAAGACAUUGGGGAGUAGAGGGGGUAGCUUAAUACUUAAAUGUAUCUUGUAAAAAUGAUUAAUCCUUGAUA